AAUAGAUGACGCUAUUGACUUUUUUUCACAUGUUUGACCAUUCGUCUUAUUCAAAAAAUUUACAUAAUUAUAAUUUAUUUUGUUAUGAGUUGUUUAAUUACUCAUAGUUCUUUAAGUGUGAUUUAUAUCUAUAUAUUUGCAUAAAUUUUUUGAAUAAGACGAAUGAUCAAAUAUGUGAGAAAAAGUCAACGGCGUCAUCUAUU
rnacentral:pre_miRNA from 1 species